ACACUAGUGGCUUAAAGCCAAGCAACAAGGUAACAAUCAGUCAGUCAAAGGAGGAACUCUUUCCAGGACCAAUCCCCCAACACAGAAACCUCCCAGCCCACCCUUGGCAGGACGAGGCACUCUUGGGCGUAACAAUCCUUAUAAAACACUUGAGCCGGUGAAACCUCCAACAGUGCCCAAUGAUUACAUGACAAGUCCAGCUCGCUUGGGCAGCCACCACAGUCCAGGACGCACUGCUUCUCUCAACCAGCGACCGAGAACCCACAGCCUCCACAGUUUCAUUUAGUUUCUGAAUGUCACAGCAUAUUUGACUUCCUCUGGGGGGAUUGAACAAUUUGGCUCAUGUACUUCAUUGUGUUAACAUCUAAAUGACAGACCUGAUCUAGGGGUUUCUGAAUGUUCCAAGUGUGCAGUCUGUACUUUUCCCACCCACACAUGUAACAUCUGUAAAUAAUGUCAUCACACCAACCCACACCUCAGCCGCGCUCCAGACCCGAGGGAAUAACCCCUCAUUCAGCCCUCGCAGUGUUUAUUAAACACAAUCAGGACUGCAGCAGUGCAUGCGCAGAAUUACUGAAUGAAUUGGCCUCAUUAGUUAAUGCUGACUGUGAUGCCAUAAAUAAUACACAACUUUUCAUUUGUUAAAAUACUGGCACUACAUGCCAGCUCUUGUGCGAGUGGCCUGCUGAAUCCAUCAAAUUGCUAGUCUUAAUUGGCACCUAUUAUGUCCCUUUUUACAAGAUGUAUUAUUGGUCUUGGGUGUCCCCAGAAU